UCUGACCCAAGCAUGGCAAAGACAUUGAAUUUGCAAAACAGUACAAAACCCACCAACUUUUUGGCCGAAGACUCCUGAAUACUUUAUGUGCUCCCUGGAACUUGGCUUCUGCAGGACUCUUUAAAAUCGGAUAGUCCUGACUAACUGCAUUCUGUGCCUGAAGAACAGCUCUGACUGAAGGGAAGUGUUAAUGCAGUGAUAGAUGACUAGAACAUCUGUUAUCAACUUAUAUGAAUUUGAAAUCAUGACUUCUGUUGGAGAUAUUCUUUAUCCUAUUUUCCUUCUUUAAUAAUAUAUUUGGAACCAUCAUGAGGCCAAAUUGUGAAGCAGAGACUCACAGCUAAGACUUUGCCUGGGGUCUCAGAGGAAAUUUUGACCUGGAAUUUUAAAUAAUGCUGAAACUGUGGAGACCUUGAAGAAGACAUUAUUGUGUUUUUAUUUAUAUGCAAGGUAGCUGUAUAAUGUUGAAAUUAUUAACUUAUUAUGGUGUUUAUUUGGAUAUUAAAUUUGGUUGAAGGAGAUGUAUUUAGAUUAACAAAGUCCAGGGGAUUAUUAAAGGACACUUUCUGUAUGUUUUUGGAUGCAUCACGGGUUGUUAAAUUGAGUACUACUUAUGGUCCUGGCUCUGUUUCCUUUGGAAAAUUUCCCCUACCCUUUCACCAUGAACUUACCAGAUUUGUUUCACCCUACUCUCUUGGCAUGGUGUUUCUUCUUUGAAGUUAUCUGAUCAUGGACUGACUCUCCUGAAACUAUAGUCAUUAAAUUAAACUUUACUUCCUUUAGGUUGUAGAUAUUAAGUAUUGUGUUCCAGAAUGAGAAAACUGGCUAAUAUAGAGUACCAAUCUAAUACUUAGUAAUUGAAUUUCUUCUUUGUAAUAUAUUAUUUUUAUGCUGAUAUAUUA